rnacentral:rRNA from 1 species
GAUGAACGCUGGCGGCGUGCCUAAUACAUGCAAGUCGAGCGAACGGACGAGAAGCUUGUUUCUCUGAUGUUAGCGGCGGACGGGUGAGUAACACGUGGAUAACCUACCUAUAAGACUGGGAUAACUUCGGGAAACCGGAGCUAAUACCGGAUAAUAUUUUGAACCGCAUGGUUCAAAAGUGAAAGACGGUCUUGCUGUCACUUAUAGAUGGAUCCGCGCUGCUUUAGCUAGUUGGUAAGGUAACGGCUUACAAAGGCAACGAUGCAUAGCCGACCUGAGAGGGUGAUCGGCCACACUGGAACUGAGACACGGUCCAGACUCCUACGGGAGGCAGCAGAAGGGAAUCUUCCGCAAUGGGCGAAGGCCUGACGGAGCAAGGCGGCGGGAGUGAUGAAGGUCUUCGGAUCGUAAAACUCUGUUAUUGGGAAAGAACAUAUGUGUAAGUAACUGUGCACAUCGUGACGGUACCUAAUCAGAAAGCCACGGCUAACUACGUG